CUUGCUUCUCCAAGUCAGUGGCGGACGGGUGAGUAACGCGUGAGUAACCUGCCCUUCAGAGGGGGAUAACGUCUGGAAACGGACGCUAAUACCGCAUGACAUAUUUCCAUCGCAUGGUGGAGAUAUCAAAGGAGCAAUCCGCUGAAGGAUGGACUCGCGUCCGAUUAGAUAGUUGGCGGGGUAACGGCCCACCAAGUCGACGAUCGGUAGCCGGACUGAGAGGUUGAACGGCCACAUUGGGACUGAGACACGGCCCAGACUCCUACGGGAGGCAGCAGUGGGGGAUAUUGCACAAUGGGCGAAAGCCUGAUGCAGCAACGCCGCGUGAGGGAAGACGGUUUUCGGAUUGUAAACCUCUGUUCUAAGUGACGAACAAAUGACGGUAGCUUAGGAGAAAGCCCCGGCUAACUACGUGCCAGCAGCCGCGGUAAUACGUAGGGGGCAAGCGUUGUCCGGAAUUACUGGGUGUAAAGGGAGCGCAGGCGGAGAAGCAAGUCAGUGGUGAAAACGAUGGGCUUAACUCAUCGACUGCCAUUGAAACUGUUUCCCUUGAGUGAAGUAGAGGCAGGCGGAAUUCCGAGUGUAGCGGUGAAAUGCGUAGAUAUUCGGAGGAACACCAGUGGCGAAGGCGGCCUGCUGGGCUUUAACUGACGCUGAGGCUCGAAAGUGUG
rnacentral:rRNA from 1 species